ACCAAGGAGUUUGACAUGUGUGCGAGUCAACGGGUGAGUAAACCCGUAAGGUGUAAGGAAGCUGAUUGUUGGGAUCCCCUUGUGGGUUGCACCGCUGACCGACCCUGAUCAUCUAUGAAGGGUUGGUGUGAGAGCAUACCUAUCGGGACCCAAAAAAUGGUGAACUCUGCCUGAGCGGGGCGAAGCCAGAGGAAACUCUGGUGGAGGCCGGCAGCGAUACUGACGUGCAAAUCGUUCGUCUGACUGGGGUAUAGGGGCGAAAGACUAAUCGAACCGUCUAGUAACUGGUUCCCUCCGAAGUUUCCCUUAGGAUAGUUGGAGCCUAAGGGCGAGUUCUAUCGGGUAAAGCCAAUGAUUAGAGGCUGAUAACAGUUGAAAAACUGUUAUUUUCAUGCUUAAAAUUGAUACUAAAAGCAACCUUUAACACUUAGAAACUAGCUUGAAAUCAUGCUUUUGGUCAUAUUUUUAGAAAUAAGAGAGCUGGACAGGUUUAUGCUUGAUUUCAGUGUUUUAUGCAGGUUUUAAGGUGAAUUUGGUGAAAGAAGUGAAGAAGGAUAGAGAUGGAAUCAGAAAAGACAUCAAAAAGGGCAAAAGGAGAAGUCGCAACUACCGCUCAGCGGCAGUUUACCGCUGAGCGGCACUCAGAAACUCACGUUGGAUCCGCUGAGGGGAGGAAAACAACUCACGCACUUACCGUUGAGCGGCACUAUUUUGGGCUUGGGCCUAAUUUUCUGUAAUUUUACGAAUAGUAUAUAAGCUUUAGGUGUUCCUAGGGUUUGUUUGUUUGGCUGUGACGAAGCACACACUCUCUUUUCCCCCCCUUGAAGGAAGAUCUGGGAUGCUCAGGCUACCUCUUCACCUUUCUAGGGUUUUAUCUUUCAUUCUUUCAUUAUUGUUCAUCUAGUUUCACCAUGAAUAUGGUGAACUAAACCUUGUAUUGUUGUUGGGGAAUCAAUGUAGUCUUGUGAAACUCUCAUAUAUGGAAUUUGUUUUAACAUCUUACUUUAAGACUUGUGCUUUCUUUCAUCAUUAGUUAGGGUGUUUCCUCUUUGCUUAACGCUUGCUUUGUUUAACUCAUUCAUUUCCAUGAUUAUUGAUUUUUUCGAUAUGGGAACGUACGGGGAAAUCUAGAUCCGAGGAAUUUCUCCCAAUAGCAUAUUGGUUGCCUUUAAGCUCCUGCACUUCAGAAUUAAUUACUAGGAAUGCUAGAAAUUGUAUGAACUCGUACUUAAGGAUAGGCCUUCUUGCAAGGUGAUUUAGAGAGUGGCAUUAGCAAUCGAUGAAAAGAAUGAUGAAUUCCUAAAGUAUAUGAGAGUGGAUAAGAUGAAAUUGAUAACCCCAACAACAUACUCAUCCAUUUAAUUCAUUACGUGUUUGUUUUACUCUUUUUGCCAUUGAUCAAAUUCAUGCAUACAUGUUUAAUUAUUGUCUUUUGCAUUAAAAACCUACAAUCAAUCGUUCACAAGCCUUAAAUAAUCAACAAAUCAGAUAACUAACUAAGCGGUGAGUCCUUUGGGAAAACGAUACUUGGUCUUACCUUGUUUUAUUACUUGAUACGAUUCAGUCACACUUGCCAAGGGUUAAACAAGUUUGUGGCGCCGCUUUUCGGUGUUCAUAAAUUUGUUAUCAGAGGCAUCGGGGGCGCAACACCCUCGACCUAUUCUCACACUUUAAAUAGGUAGGACGGUUUGGCUACUCUGUUGAGCCGUGCCACGGAAUUGAGAGCUCCAAGGGGGCCAUUUUUGGUAAGCAGAACUGGCGAUGCGGGAUGAACCGGAAGCUGGGUUAUGGUGCCCAACUGCGUGCUAACCUAGACCCCACAAAGGGUGUUGGUCGAUUAAGACAGUAGGAUGGUGGUCAUGGAAGUCGAAAUCCGCUAACGAGUGUGUAAUAACUCACCUGCUGAAUCAACUAGCCCCGAAAAUGGAUGGGACUAAAGCACGCGACCUAUACCCGGCCGUCGGGGCAAGGACCAAGCUUCGAUGAGUAGGAGGACACGGCGGUCGCUGCAUAACCAAGUGCGUGAGCUCGGGCGGAGCGGUCGUCGGUGCAGAUCUUGGUGGUAGUAGCAAAUAUUCAAAUGGGAACUUUGAAGGCCGAAGAGGGGAAAGGUUCCAUGUGAACGACACUUGCACAUGGGUUAGUCGAUCCUAAGGGACGGGGGAAGCCCGUCUGAUAGCGCUUUCAGUGCGUACUCCGAAAGGGAAUCGGGUUAAAAAUCCUGAACCGGGACGUGGCGGCUGACGGCAACGUUAGGGACUCCGGAGACGUCGGCAGGGGCCGCGGAAAGAGUUAUCUUUUCUGUUUAACAGCUUGCCCACCCUGGAAACGGCUCAACCGGAGGUAGGGUCUAGCGGCUGGAAGAGAACCGCACGUCGCGUGGUGUCCAGUGCGCCCCCGGUGGCCCUUGAAAAUCCGGAGGAACGAGUGCCUCCCACACCCGGUCGUACUCAUAACCGCAUCAGGUCUCCAAGGUGAACAACCUCUGGUC
rfam:Vigna angularis cultivar Jingnong 6 chromosome 5, whole genome shotgun sequence.